UGCUACAAAUAUUAUGGCUUGGAACAAAACGCAGCAAUUAAUAAUUAUACUCUGAUGACAAUGACAACUCCACAGCAGAAAUGACAGUGGCAGUAAUUGUUAGUCCAAGGUGACAGGUGAAUGACAAUCAUGAUAAUGACAAUUGGAUUAAAAACAUGACAGACAAUAACAGACUGUGAGGUGUGACAGUGAAUUUCUAUAACAAUAACCAGUAAAUUUUAUUUAAAAUUAAUAUUUAAAAUAGAGCAAUCGGAUGGGCAGCAAUAAGGGCUUGCACUUCGGAGAGGGACUCCAGCUUAUGACGAGACUUGUUAGGGAGCAAGACAAUGAUUUUUCCCUCGACGGUCCAGCAAUUCCUCACACCAAAGUGGCGACGUGCGGUGAUGAAUGCCUUAUGCCGGGCAUUGGUUAAAAAUUCGGAUACCGUAACACCAGAGCCUUUAAGAGUGGUUUUGCUAUCCCACACAAGAGUUCUAGAAUCCAUAUUAUAAAAACGCACGAUAAUCGGUCGGAUCCUGCCACGACGGGAACCCAGCCUAUGACAAACCGCUAAAUCAGUUUUUACAACACUACCCAAUUUCAUGUUGUCGCAAAGUAUGUGAAGGACAGAAUCUUGGACAUUCUCAUUUUCUUUCUCUGGAACCCCAUGUAGCAUCAGUACCUUUCUUCGCAUCAUGGUUUCAUGUCUGUCCUGACCAAGAGAGAGCAAAUCUAUCUGCGAUUUUAUGACAGACAAUGAUUGUAAGACAAACUUCUUAAAAUCACUGAACUCACGUGCAAGCGAUGAUAAAUCAGGAUGUCUUGGCGAAGUCCCUGAAGCAAUCUGCAGCAGCUUGUCCUCAUAUUCCUGCAUUCUUGUUUGGAAUGUUCUUUGAAGAUCAUCAAAGCUCAGCCCAUGAGUAGCCUCCAUAAUGCAGAUUAGUGUUGAAGCGCAGGAUACUUGAUAGGAUUAUAAUGUGAGAUGAGCGCAGGUGAGUCUGGCAGCAAAGUUAUCUACUUUUAGCCAGAGUUUUUCUUGAUUAGAUAUUUUUAAUAAAUUAUUAAUGUGGA